rnacentral:rRNA from 1 species
CAGGCUUAACACAUGCAAGUCGAGGGGCAGCAUGGUCUUAGCUUGCUAAGGCCGAUGGCGACCGGCGCACGGGUGAGUAACACGUAUCCAACCUGCCGUCUACUCUUGGACAGCCUUCUGAAAGGAAGAUUAAUACAAGAUGGCAUCAUGAGUCCGCAUGUUCACAUGAUUAAAGGUAUUCCGGUAGACGAUGGGGAUGCGUUCCAUUAGAUAGUAGGCGGGGUAACGGCCCACCUAGUCUUCGAUGGAUAGGGGUUCUGAGUGGAAGGUCCCCCACAUUGGAACUGAGACACGGUCCAAACUCCUACGGGAGGCAGCAGUGAGGAAUAUUGGUCAAUGGGCGAGAGCCUGAACCAGCCAAGUAGCGUGAAGGAUGACUGCCCUAUGGGUUGUAAACUUCUUUUAUAAAGGAAUAAAGUCGGGUAUGGAUACCCGUUUGCAUGUACUUUAUGAAUAAGGAUCGGCUAACUCCGUGCCAGCAGCCGCGGUAAUACGGAGGAUCCGAGCGUUAUCCGGAUUUAUUGGGUUUAAAGGGAGCGUAGAUGGAUGUUUAAGUCAGUUGUGAAAGUUUGCGGCUCAACCGUAAAAUUGCAGUUGAUACUGGAUAUCUUGAGUGCAGUUGAGGCAGGCGGAAUUCGUGGUGUAGCGGUGAAAUGCUUAGAUAUCACGAAGAACUCCGAUUGCGAAGGCAGCCUGCUAAGCUGCAACUGACAUUGAGGCUCGAAAGUGUGGGUAUCAAACAGGAUUAGAUACCCUGGUAGUCCACACGGUAAACGAUGAAUACUCGCUGUUUGCGAUAUACUGCAAGCGGCCAAGCGAAAGCGUUAAGUAUUCCACCUGGGGAGUACGCCGGCAACGGUGAAACUCAAAGGAAUUGACGGGGGCCCGCACAAGCGGAGGAACAUGUGGUUUAAUUCGAUGAUACGCGAGGAACCUUACCCGGGCUUAAAUUGCAGAUGAAUUACGGUGAAAGCCGUAAGCCGCAAGGCAUCUGUGAAGGUGCUGCAUGGUUGUCGUCAGCUCGUGCCGUGAGGUGUCGGCUUAAGUGCCAUAACGAGCGCAACCCUUGUUGUCAGUUACUAACAGGUUCCGCUGAGGACUCUGACAAGACUGCCAUCGUAAGAUGUGAGGAAGGUGGGGAUGACGUCAAAUCAGCACGGCCCUUACGUCCGGGGCUACACACGUGUUACAAUGGGGGGUACAGAGGGCCGCUACCACGCGAGUGGAUGCCAAUCCCCAAAACCUCUCUCAGUUCGGACUGGAGUCUGCAACCCGACUCCACGGAGCUGGAUUCGCUAGUAAUCGCGCAUCAGCCACGGCGCGGUGAAUACGUUCCCGGGCCUUGUACACACCGCCCGUCAAGCCAUGGGAGCCGGGGGUACCUGAAGUGCGUAACCGCGAGGAGCGCCCUAGGGUAAAACUGGUGACUGG